CCUACGGGCGGCAGCAGUGGGGAAUAUUGCACAAUGGGCGCAAGCCUGAUGCAGCCAUGCCGCGUGUGUGAAGAAGGCCUUCGGGUUGUAAAGCACUUUCAGCGGGGAGGAAGGCGUUAAGGUUAAUAACCUUGGCGAUUGACGUUACCCGCAGAAGAAGCACGGGCUAACUCCGUGCCAGCAGCCGCGGUAAUACGGAGGGUGCAAGCGUUAAUCGGAAUUACUGGGCGUAAAGCGCACGCAGGCGGUCUGUCAAGUCGGAUGUGAAAUCCCCGGGCUCAACCUGGGAACUGCAUUCGAAACUGGCAGGCUAGAGUCUUGUAGAGGGGGGUAGAAUUCCAGGUGUAGCGGUGAAAUGCGUAGAGAUCUGGAGGAAUACCGGUGGCGAAGGCGGCCCCCUGGACAAAGACUGACGCUCAGGUGCGAAAGCGUGGGGAGCAAACAGGAUUAGAUACCCGUGUAGUC
rnacentral:rRNA from 1 species